rnacentral:rRNA from 1 species
CCUACGGGAGGCAGCAGUGAGGAAUAUUGGUCAAUGGGCGAGAGCCUGAACCAGCCAAGUCGCGUGAGGGAGUACUGCCCUAUGGGUUGUAAACCUCUUUUGUCGGGGAGCAAAAGCCGGACGUGUCCGGCUGUGAGAGUACCCGAAGAAAAAGCAUCGGCUAACUCCGUGCCAGCAGCCGCGGUAAUACGGAGGAUGCGAGCGUUAUCCGGAUUUAUUGGGGUUAAAGGGUGCGCAGGCGGAUUUUUAAGUCAGCGGUCAAAUCGUGGGGCUCAACCCCAUCCAGCCAUUGAAACUGGGGAUCUAGAGUGUGCGAGAGGUAUGCAGAAUGCGUGGUGUAGCGGUGAAAUGCAUAGAUAUCACGCAGAACCCCGAUUGCGAAGGCAGCAUACCGGUGCACAACUGACGCUCAGGCACGAAAGCGUGGGUAUCGAACAGGAUUAGAUACCCUAGUAGUC